GGCACCAGCUGAGAGACAGAAUUUUUGGAAGAACUUAGGAAAGAAACUAAGAAAAGACAACAGCACACAGCAACAAGCUUUCCCAGGGGAGCAACAUCCAGGUCUGAGUGACACCCACUGUGGCCAUGUACGUGUCUGCCGGACACUGCCUUGAGCCCACGGGGCGGCUCCCAGGGGCGUCUCCCCGACACCUCCAGCUCCCUUCCUGGGCAGUGCUGUGCAGCGGGGCAGCCUGUGGGUGCCAGGUCAGGCUGCCUGGGCUCAACAGUCAUCCGGGCCUCUCAUGUCACCGAGAACAUUAUGGUGGGCGCCUGUGAGCUCUUCCUGACCACCCAAGACUUCUAGGAUGCUUU
rnacentral:lncRNA from 1 species